GACGAACGCUGGCGGCGUGCUUAACACAUGCAAGUCGAACGCUGAAGCUUGGUGCUUGCACUGGGUGGAUGAGUGGCGAACGGGUGAGUAAUACGUGAGUAACCUGCCCUUGACUCUGGGAUAAGCCUGGGAAACUGGGUCUAAUACUGGAUACGACAUGUCACCGCAUGGUGGUGUGUGGAAAGGGUUUUACUGGUUUUGGAUGGGCUCACGGCCUAUCAGCUUGUUGGUGGGGUAAUGGCUCACCAAGGCGACGACGGGUAGCCGGCCUGAGAGGGUGACCGGCCACACUGGGACUGAGACACGGCCCAGACGCCUACGGGAGGCAGCAGUGGGGAAUAUUGCACAAUGGGCGGGAGCCUGAUGCAGCGACGCCGCGUGAGGGAUGACGGCCUUCGGGUUGUAAACCUCUUUCAGCACGGAAGAAGCGAAAGUGACGGUACGUGCAGAAGAAGCGCCGGCUAACUACGUG
rnacentral:rRNA from 1 species